rnacentral:misc_RNA from 1 species
GUGAAUCAUCGAAUUUUUGAACGCAUAUUGCACUCUCUGGUAUUCCGGAGAGUAUGCCUGUUUGAGGGUAAUUAAAAAGAAUCUUUAACCAAUUUUUUUUGGUCAAAGGAAAUGAGCUCUCCGCGUUUAUAGCGGUAGCUUGAAAUAAAUGGUAAAGUCACUUUUUACUCGAGACGCAUUAUAAUAUUAUUUCGCAAUAUCUUCUUUAUGUCACUCUCAAGUUUUUAUGUAUAAAAAUGUG